GACGAACGCUGGCGGCGUGCCUAAUACAUGCAAGUCGAGCGAAGUUUUUCUGGUGCUUGCACCGGAAAAACUUAGCGGCGAACGGGUGAGUAACACGUAAAGAACCUGCCUCAUAGACUGGGACAACUAUUGGAAACGAUAGCUAAUACCGGAUAAUAGCAUUAACUGCAUGGUUGAUGUUUAAAAGUUGGUUUUGCUAACACUAUGAGAUGGCUUUGCGGUGCAUUAGCUAGUUGGUGGGGUAAAGGCCUACCAAGGCGACGAUGCAUGGCCGACCUGAGAGGGUGAUCGGCCACACUGGGACUGAGACACGGCCCAGACUCCUACGGGAGGCAGCAGUAGGGAAUCUUCCGCAAUGGGCGAAAGCCUGACGGAGCAACGCCGCGUGAGUGAAGAAGGAUUUCGGUUCGUAAAGCUCUGUUGUUAGGGAAGAAUGAUUGUGUAGUAACUAUACACAGUAGAGACGGUACCUAACCAGAAAGCCACGGCUAACUACGUG
rnacentral:rRNA from 1 species